rnacentral:rRNA from 1 species
UGGGGGAUAUUGCACAAUGGGCGAAAGCCUGAUGCAGCGACGCCGCGUGGGGGAUGAAGGCUUUCGGGUUGUAAACCUCUUUCGCUAUCGAACAAGGCCCGCUUAGGGUGGGUUGAGGGUAGGUGGAGAAGAAGCGCCGGCUAACUACGUGCCAGCAGCCGCGGUAAUACGUCGGGCGCGAGCGUUGUCCGGAAUGAUUGGGCGUAAAGGGCUUGUAGGCGGCUUGUUGCGUCUGCUGUGAAAACGCGGGGCUUAACUUCGCGCGUGCAGUGGGUGCGUGCAGGAUUGCGUGUGGUAGGGGUGACUGGAAUUCCGGGUGGGGCGGUGGAGUGCGCAGAUAGCUGGAGGAACACCGAUGGCGGAGGCAGGUCACUGGGCCAUUACUGACGCUGAGGAGCGGAAGCAAGGGUAGCGAACAGG